UACAGAGGGUGCAAACGUUGUUCGGAAUUACUGGGCGUAAAGCGCGUGCAGGCGGCCUUGCAAGUCGGACGUGAAAUCCCACGGCUCAACCGUGGAAGUGCAUUCGAAACUGCGAGGCUGGAGUCCUGGAGAGGAAAGCGGAAUACUCGGUGUAGAGGUGAAAUUCGUAGAUAUCGAGUGGAACACCGGUGGCGAAGGCGGCUUUCUGGACAGGUACUGACGCUGAGACGCGAAAGCGUGGGGAGCAAACAGG
rnacentral:rRNA from 1 species